rnacentral:tRNA from 1 species
GGCAUGAUGGCGGAGUGGUUAACGCGCUGCCCUGCUAUUUAUAGAGAGGCAGUUCCCUCGGGAGCGCAGGUUCGAAUCCUGCUCAUGUCG